rnacentral:other from 1 species
AAAUAUCUGGGAUGCUCGGUAAUUCCUGUAUAUUUUGAACCUACAUAUACUUAAUGGGAUUUCUAUAUCUCCGGUCAGAUGAUAUGCCUCCUUUGAGUGGACAUCAGAAAACCGGGUGCGAUCACCCACCUGGCCUUGGGCUAGGCGUCAAAAGACAGGGACCGGCACCUCCGGAUGUUUA